rnacentral:rRNA from 1 species
AGUGAACGCUGACGGUAGGCCUAACACAUGCAAGUCGAACGGCAGCACAGUAAGAGCUUGCUCUUACGGGUGGCGAGUGGCGGACGGGUGAGGAAUACAUCGGAAUCUACUUUUUCGUGGGGGAUAACGUAGGGAAACUUACGCUAAUACCGCAUACGACCUACGGGUGAAAGCAGGGGAUCUUCGGACCUUGCGCGAUUGAAUGAGCCGAUGUCGGAUUAGCUAGUUGGCGGGGUAAAGGCCCACCAAGGCGACGAUCCGUAGCUGGUCUGAGAGGAUGAUCAGCCACACUGGAACUGAGACACGGUCCAGACUCCUACGGGAGGCAGCAGUGGGGAAUAUUGGACAAUGGGCGCAAGCCUGAUCCAGCCAUACCGCGUGGGUGAAGAAGGCCUUCGGGUUGUAAAGCCCUUUUGUUGGGAAAGAAAGGCAGCAGGUUAAUACCCCGCUGUUCUGACGGUACCCAAAGAAUAAGCACCGGCUAACUUCGUG